GUCUAUGGCCAUGCUACCCUGAAUAAACCCAAUCCCAUCUGAGCUCUGAAGUUAAGCAGGGUCGAGCCUGGUUAGUACUUGGAUGGGAGACCACCUAGGAAGACCAGGUGCUGUAGGUG
rnacentral:rRNA from 1 species